rnacentral:tRNA from 1 species
GGUGUAAUGGUGAGCACUCUGGACUCUGAAUCCAGCGAUCCGAGUUCGAAUCUCUG